CUGCGAAUGGCUCAUUAAAUCAGUUAUCGUUUAUUUGAUAAUACCUUACUACUUGGAUAACCGUGGUAAUUCUAGAGCUAAUACAUGCUGAAAAUCCCGACUUCGGAAGGGAUGUGUUUAUUAGAUAAAAAACCAAUGCCCUUCGGGGCUUUUUGGUGAUUCAUGAUAACUUUACGGAUCGCAUAGCCUUGCGCUGGCGACGGUUCAUUCAAAUUUCUGCCCUAUCAACUUUCGAUGGUAAGGUAUUGGCUUACCAUGGUUUCAACGGGUAACGGGGAAUUAGGGUUCGAUUCCGGAGAGGGAGCCUGAGAAACGGCUACCACAUCCAAGGAAGGCAGCAGGCGCGCAAAUUACCCAAUCCCGACACGGGGAGGUAGUGACAAUAAAUACUGAUACAGGGCUCUUUUGGGUCUUGUAAUUGGAAUGAGUACAAUUUAAACCUCUUAACGAGGAACAAUUGGAGGGCAAGUCUGGUGCCAGCAGCCGCGGUAAUUCCAGCUCCAAUAGCGUAUAUUAAAGUUGUUGCAGUUAAAAAGCUCGUAGUUGAAACUUGGGCCUGGCUGGCGGGUCCGCCUCACCGCGUGCACUCGUCCGGCCGGGCCUUCCUUCUGAAGAACCUCAUGCCCUUCACUGGGCGUGCUGGGGAAUCAGGACUUUUACUUUGAAAAAAUUAGAGUGUUCAAAGCAGGCCUUUGCUCGAAUACGUUAGCAUGGAAUAAUAAAAUAGGGCGUGCGUUUCUAUUUUGUUGGUUUCUAGAGACGCCGCAAUGAUUAACAGGAACAGUCGGGGGCAUCAGUAUUCAGUUGUCAGAGGUGAAAUUCUUGGAUUUACUGAAGACUAACUACUGCGAAAGCAUUUGCCAAGGAUGUUUUCAUUAAUCAGUGAACGAAAGUUAGGGGAUCGAAGACGAUCAGAUACCGUCGUAGUCUUAACCGUAAACUAUGCCGACUAGGGAUCGGGCGAUGUUCUUUUUCUGACUCGCUCGGCACCUUACGAGAAA
rnacentral:rRNA from 1 species